UUUCCGUAGGUGAACCUGCGGAAGGAUCAUUACUGAGGACUUGCCCUUAGGGGUAGAUCUCCCACCCAUUGUUUACAUAUUUCGUUGCUUUGGCAGGUCUGCCUCUUGUGCUAGUGGCCUUAGUUAGCUCGUGCCUGUCAGAGUACCAACACUCUUAAUUAGUUAUUGUCUAAAGUACUUUUUAUAUAGUUAAAACUUUCAACAACGGAUCUCUUGGUUUUG
rnacentral:misc_RNA from 1 species